rnacentral:lncRNA from 1 species
GUCAUGUAACAAAUGCAUAUCACAAACAACAACAUCUUAUGAAGAUUGAUAUUUUUUUUAUGAAAAACUCUUGUAUUGAAAUGAUGCCACAACAUCAUUAGGACAUAGCUCGUUUCUGUCAAGAAAAGGUACCAGUUUAAAAUGGAUUCUUUUAACCAAAGACAGGUCCACAUUUCUUCUUUUCUGUUCAUACAGGAAAAACUGGUACCGAUGGUGUUGCUUCUUUGGAAAAUAAAUAGAAAUAAAGCAAAGCAUUGCAAUUUGUGACCAUUUAAGAGAAGUUAAUCAGUAAGUUGAACUAUUUCAUUUAUUGUUCAAAUUGCCUUUUGUUUUAUAUCAUGU